rnacentral:rRNA from 1 species
GGGGAGUACGGUCGCAAGACCGAAACUCAAAGGAAUUGACGGGGGCCUGCACAAGCGGUGGAGCAUGUGGUUUAAUUUGAUACAACGCGCAAAACCUUACCAGCCCUUGACAUAUGAACAACAAAACCUGUCCUUAACAGGAUGGUACUGACUUUCAUAUAGGUGCUGCAUGGCUGUCGUCAGCUCGUGUCGUGAGAUGUUUGGUCAAGUCCUAUAACGAGCGAAACCCUCGUUUUGUGUUGCUGAGACAUGUGCCUAAGGAGAAAUUGCCACCGAGUGACGUGCCAGCGCUACUACUUGAUUGAGUGCCAGCACGUAGCUGUGCUUUCAGCAAGAAUUUCACCAUUGGGAGCCGGUGCCUUUCGAAGCACUUUCACGUGUGAACUGAAGUCGUCUUGCCCAAGACCCACGGAGACCUACCUAUAGUGACGUCAAAGUACCAGUGAGCAUGGAGGUUUGGUUGAAAUUGGUUACGACGACGUCGAGUUGGCGGCGGAGGAAGACUCGGCAUGAAGGCCAGAAAAUGGUGUGGAACGUAGUGGUAAUAGUACGCGCCCCGCUCCGAAACAAAGAAAAAGGUGCGUGCCGCACUCACGAGGGACUGCCAGUGAGAUACUGGAGGAAGGUGGGGAUGACGUCAAGUCCGCAUGGCCCUUAUGGGCUGGGCCACACACGUGCUACAAUGGCAAUGACAAUGGGAAGCAAGGCUGUAAGGCGGAGCGAAUCCGGAAAGAUUGCCUCAGUUCGGAUUGUUCUCUGCAACUCGGGAACAUGAAGUUGAAAUCGCUAGUAAUCGCGGAUCAGCAUGCCGCGGUGAAUAUGUACCCGGGCCCUGUACACACCGCCCGUCACACCCUGGGAAUUGGUUUCGCCCGAAGCAUCGGACCAAUGAUCACCCAUGACUUCUGUGUACCACUAGUGCCACAAAGGCCUUUGGUGGUCUUAUUGGCGCAUGCCACGGUGGGGUCUUCGAUUGGGGUGAAGUCGUAACAAGGUAGCCGUAGGGGAACCUGUGGCUG